GGACACCCCGGGGGGGGGGGGUUCCCUCGGCAGUUUCCCCCGGGGGGGCGCAAAAAAUUUGGGGGGCCACACGGGAUUAACCCCCCGGGGUUCCUCCCCCCAAAAGGGGGGCUGUUGUUUAAAAAGAUAUUCCCCCCCUUUUGGGGGGACCCAAGCGGUUAAAACCCCCCCCUGGGAAUCCGUUCCCAAGUUUAAAACUAAAAAAAUUUGGGGGGGCCUCCACAGGGGGGGAAAUUGGGGCUAAUUCGAGGCAAGGGGAAAACCCUUACCUGGCCUUACAAUUAGUUAUUAAACCCUGAAAGGUGACGAUCCCGCAAGGGAAGUUACACAGGUGUUGCAUGGCGUUCGUCAGUUCGUGUCGUGAGAUGUGGGGUAGUCCCCGCAACGAGCGCAACCCCUGUGUCCUGUGCCACCCGGCCGAGAGGCUGGAGCACUCUGGACAGACUGCCUCGCUUCAACGAGGAGGAAGGUGGGGAUGACGUCAAGUCAGUAUGGCCCUUACGGCCAGGGCUGCACACGUACUACAAUGCCCGGCACAGAGGGAAGCAAGAUCGUAAGAUGGAGCAAAUCCCCAAAAACCGGGCCCAGUUCAGAUUGUCGUCUGCAACUCGACGGCAUGAAGCUGGAAUCGCUAGUAAUGGCGCAUCAGCUACGGCGCCGUGAAUACGUUCCCAGGCCUUGUACACACCGCCCGUCACAUCAUGAAAGCCGUUUGUACCCGAAGUCGCCCCUCAAAAGGUGCCGAAGGUAUGGAUGGUGAUUGGGAUGAAGUCGUAACAAGGUAA
rnacentral:rRNA from 1 species